rnacentral:lncRNA from 1 species
AUGUCCAAAGAAGACCAAGAAAGAGCUAACGAGACACUAGCAAGAGCUAUAUUUGCAAGCCAUCUACCUCUUUCUGUCCUUGAAAAUCAAUACUGGAAAGAGCAUUACAAACUAAUUUGCCCGCUGUAUAAGUUGCCAUCAGGUUAUCACUUAUCGCAUUCUCUUUUAGAUAAAGAGUACGACAGAGUUCAAGCAAUGGUGACUCAAAGGAUCAGGCAGGCAGAGUCUCUGACGCUGAUGUCAAACGGGUGGACUGAUACAGAAGGAAAUUCUUUCCUGAGUAUUAUGUUUGCAACUCCUGAACCAACGUUCCUUAAAGCAAUUUCCACCAAAUCUCAUGUCGGUGAAUACAUUGCCAACUUACUGAGUGAAGUAAUCGAAAGUGCAGGGCCAGACAGAGUGCAAGCAGCUGUAACUGACAAUGCAAGUUACAUGCAAGAUGUGUGGCAACUAUUAAAAGUGAAAUACCCACAUCUGAUAAUCUUUCGCUGUCUUGCUGAUGGGCUGAAUUGUCUUGCAAACGACAUAGUAAAUAUGAGUACAAUGAAAACUGUACUAGCAAACUGCAAAGCUACUGUGAAGGCAUUCAACAAUCACCCUGCUGCUAAUCAGACACUGAAGAGAUUACAAAGAGAGAAACAGAGCAGGGAAAGUGCACUUUUCUUGCCAUUAGAUGCUAAACAGAACUCAGUUACAAAGUGUUUGGACAGUCUGUUGUGUACAAAGAAGUGUUUACAGUAUGCUUCAGUAGAAGACACAGUACCCCACAUUAUUCCUGGGAACAUUCGAGAGCAGAUUAAUGAUAAUAUGUUUGAGGCCCAAGUACAAGAAGCAUUCAAUUUGUUACUACCAAUUUCAGAGGCAAUCAAGAAACUUGAACAAGAUGCAUCAACCCUAUCAAAUGUUCCAGAGAUGAUUAGACAAAUGCAAGAAAAACUAAGUGAACUUUUGCCCUCUUCAUCUCUAUCCCAUGAAGAACAAACUGAAUUAAAGCAAAUAUUUACUAAGACGGUUGAGUUUUGCUCCCACCCUGCUCAUCUGGCAGCAAAUCUACUAGAUCCCAAACAGUGUGGAAAAAAAUUAUCAGAAAAUGAAUUAUCCUCUGCUCUUGAUACAAUUGUGGAGCUAGCAAAGAACAUUCCUAAUAUUGAUGAAAUAACUGUGAUGACAGAUAUUGCUGAAUAUCGUGCAAAGGAAAAGCUCUGGAGUCAAGAGAUCAUUUGGCGGGCAUCAGAGAAUAUGUCUCCUCUUACAUGGUGGAAGGGAUAUUGUAACACCCGACAACUGUCCACAAUUGCUGUAAGAAUCCUAAGCAUUCCACCAACCAUCACUGCUUGCGAAGAGAACUUGAAGGCUUACAACUUAAUCGAGACAAAGAAGAUGAACAGACUAACAGAGGAACGUGCUGCUAAACUUGCCUCUGUAUCUCUAAAUCUCUUGUUACUGCAACAGAACCAGUCACAAGCAUAUCAGGAAAAAAGGAUGAAGUAUGAUGAACUUCCCACUGGCUUGUUGUGGGCAGAAUCAUCAUAUAAUGAACAAGUACAUGGCUCAAGCAUGUCUGAAUCAGAUUUGCCUCUGAGUGAGCUGGAAUUCACCAGCAAAGUAAGCACUCCUAUGGCCAGCGAAGAUACUCUUCCAUUUAACUCUGUGGAGCAGCUCAGUAAAAAGCAGUAG